GACAGAGGGUGCAAACGUUGCUCGGAAUCACUGGGCGUAAAGGGCGUGUAGGCGGGGAGGAAAGUCAGAUGUGAAAUCCCUGGGCUCAACCCAGGAACUGCAUUUGAAACUGCCUUUCUUGAGUGUCGGAGAGGAAAGUGGAAUUCCUGGUGUAGAGGUGAAAUUCGUAGAUAUCAGGAGGAACACCGGUGGCGAAGGCGGCUUUCUGGACGACAACUGACGCUGAGACGCGAAAGCGUGGGGAGCAAACAGG
rnacentral:rRNA from 1 species